GGCUCGGUAGCUCAGUCGGUAGAGCAGAGGACUGAAAAUCCUCGUGUCGGCGGUUCGNUCGAAUCCCGUACGGGUCACCA
rnacentral:tRNA from 1 species